rnacentral:lncRNA from 1 species
AAAAACAAAAGGGAGAAUAAAAUCCCUCAACCUAUAGUCCACAAAAUCACAAAGUCCACAAAUAAAAACCCAAAAACCCAAACCCACAAAGUCCACAAAUAAAAACCCAAAAACCCAAACCCACAAAGUCCACAAAUAAAAACCCAAAAACCCAAAAUCCACAAAGUCCACAAAUAAAGAUCCAAAACCCAAAGUUCACAAAUAAAAAUCCAAAAUCCAAAGUCUACAAAUAAAACCCAACCAAAUCUAUCAAACCUUUGUCACCCAAAUACCUCCAACCCAAACCAAAUUCAUGGGCUUCCCAAAUGGGCCCCUCACUAUGAAUUAAUUCUAUGAAUUAAUUUUUUGGGCUUUCCAAAUGUAUUCCCUAUCACGAAUUAAUUCUAUGAAUUAGUUUCAUGGGUCCUCUUUGUCAUAAAUUAAUAUCAUGAACCAAUGGGCUCUCCAAAUGGCCCCUAUCAUGAAUUAAUUUCAUCAAAUAACUUGGUGGACUUUACAAAUGGACUCCUAGCAUUAGUUAAUUUCGUGAAUCAGUUUCAUGAAUACCUCGAUUUCAAUCGACCGAAACGUCGUUAAACUAAACCCAAAUCCAAACGACCGAAAAGUCGUUAAACUAAACCCGAAUCCAAAUGACCGAAAAGUCGUUAAACUAAACCCAAAUNN